rnacentral:rRNA from 1 species
GAUGAACGCUGGCGGCGUGCCUAAUACAUGCAAGUCGAGCGAACAGACGAGGAGCUUACUCCUCUGACGUUAGCGGCGGACGGGUGAGUAACACGUGGAUAACCUACCUAUAAGACUGGGAUAACUUCGGGAAACCGGAGCUAAUACCGGAUAACAUGUUGAACCGCAUGGUUCAACAGUGAAAGACGGUCUUGCUGUCACUUAUAGAUGGAUCCGCGUCGCAUUAGCUAGUUGGUAAGGUAACGGCUUACCAAGGCAACGAUGCGUAGCCGACCUGAGAGGGUGAUCGGCCACACUGGAACUGAGACACGGUCCAGACUCCUACGGGAGGCAGCAGUAGGGAAUCUUCCGCAAUGGGCGAAAGCCUGACGGAGCAACGCCGCGUGAGUGAAGAAGGUCUUCGGAUCGUAAAACUCUGUUAUUAGGGAAGAACAAAUGUGUAAGUAACUAUGCACGUCUUGACGGUACCUAAUCAGAAAGCCACGGCUAACUACGUGCCAGCAGCCGCGGUAAUACGUAGGUGGCAAGCGUUAUCCGGAAUUAUUGGGCGUAAAGCGCGCGUAGGCGGUUUUUUAAGUCUGAUGUGAAAGCCCACGGCUCAACCGUGGAGGGUCAUUGGAAACUGGAAAACUUGAGUGCAGAAGAGGAAAGUGGAAUUCCAUGUGUAGCGGUGAAAUGCGCAGAGAUAUGGAGGAACACCAGUGGCGAAGGCGACUUUCUGGUCUGUAACUGACGCUGAUGUGCGAAAGCGUGGGGAUCAAACAGGAUUAGAUACCCUGGUAGUCCACGCCGUAAACGAUGAGUGCUAAGUGUUAGGGGGUUUCCGCCCCUUAGUGCUGCAGCUAACGCAUUAAGCACUCCGCCUGGGGAGUACGACCGCAAGGUUGAAACUCAAAGGAAUUGACGGGGACCCGCACAAGCGGUGGAGCAUGUGGUUUAAUUCGAAGCAACGCGAAGAACCUUACCAAAUCUUGACAUCCUCUGACCCCUCUAGAGAUAGAGUUUUCCCCUUCGGGGGACAGAGUGACAGGUGGUGCAUGGUUGUCGUCAGCUCGUGUCGUGAGAUGUUGGGUUAAGUCCCGCAACGAGCGCAACCCUUAAGCUUAGUUGCCAUCAUUAAGUUGGGCACUCUAAGUUGACUGCCGGUGACAAACCGGAGGAAAGUGGGGAUGACGUCAAAUCAUCAUGCCCCUUAUGAUUUGGGCUACACACGUGCUACAAUGGACAAUACAAAGGGUAGCGAAACCGCGAGGUCAAGCAAAUCCCAUAAAGUUGUUCUCAGUUCGGAUUGUAGUCUGCAACUCGACUACAUGAAGCUGGAAUCGCUAGUAAUCGUAGAUCAGCAUGCUACGGUGAAUACGUUCCCGGGUCU